rnacentral:lncRNA from 1 species
CGUCUUAUGCGCCUGUCGUCUGCGCGGUAGGCCUGCACGCAAGAAGCUUUUGCACCAAAAGCCUGUGCGAAGUAGGCUUGCGCCUACUGCAGGCUAGGCCUACACACGCGCAACAGUCUGGGACGGUGAAUGCUGCCUCGGGCAGUGCAUGUUUCCCCCUUGGGGGUCAUGCACUGCCUUUUGGCAACACGCUGCCGUCGUUGUUUGGGUGCCGAGUGUCCAAUUUUAGCAAC